GACGAACGCUGGCGGCGUGCUUAACACAUGCAAGUCGAACGGAAAGGCCCUGCUUUUGUGGGGUGCUCGAGUGGCGAACGGGUGAGUAACACGUGAGUAACCUGCCCUUGACUUUGGGAUAACUUCAGGAAACUGGGGCUAAUACCGGAUAGGAGCUCCUGCUGCAUGGUGGGGGUUGGAAAGUUUCGGCGGUUGGGGAUGGACUCGCGGCUUAUCAGCUUGUUGGUGGGGUAGUGGCUUACCAAGGCUUUGACGGGUAGCCGGCCUGAGAGGGUGACCGGCCACAUUGGGACUGAGAUACGGCCCAGACUCCUACGGGAGGCAGCAGUGGGGAAUAUUGCACAAUGGGCGGAAGCCUGAUGCAGCAACGCCGCGUGCGGGAUGACGGCCUUCGGGCUGUAAACCGCUUUCGCCUGUGACGAAGUGUGAGUGACGGUAAUGGGUAAAGAAGCACCGGCUAACUACGUG
rnacentral:rRNA from 1 species